CCCCCAGGUCUCCAGGGACCUGGAGGCCAACGCUGGCGCUGGCACCUCCCUGCCAUCCCCCUCAGCCUUCUUGCCGGCUCCAUCCUCGCCCCCCAGACGCGUUGUGUCCCUUGCGCUUGGCCAGCCCCUCUUCCUGUCCUCCCUGCUGGACGUCGCCCGCCCUCAGAGCGCCAGGCCUCCCCAGGCGGCCCGCUCCCCACUCCAGUCUUCAGCCCUGAACCUGACCCAGCACGUGGCCAAGGGACACCCCGGGGGACAGCCCACGGGCAGCCCGGUUUCCACCCUCUCUUCCUCGGGACGACGGAAGGGGGCCGAGUGAUCCGCAGGAGGAGCCUGGGUCCCGGAGUCCCACCUGGAGGCCCCUCUGGACACGCACCUGAGCGGUUAGAAGGCACCUUGGAUGAUGGAGAAGGAAAUUGGAGAAGAAAUAUUGCUCAGAGCACGGAGGUUAUCAGGAGAUAUUGAAUACAGUUCGCUGUGCUGUUCAGUAGGUGCCUGACGUUUCUGUUUAUACACGGGAGCGUGUGUCUGCUGAUCCCAAGCUCCUGGUGUAUCCUGCUCGCCUCCUUUCCCCCUUGGUAACCACAAUUUUUGUUUCUAUGUCUGUGAGUCUAUUUCUGUUUGUAUCAUUUUCUAGAUUCUGCUAGACUAGAUAUCUAGUCUAACUGAUAUCACAGACGAUUUGUCUUUCUCUGUCUGACUUACUUCCUUAGU